GAUGAACGCUGGCGGCGUGCUUAACACAUGCAAGUCGAACGAUGAACCGGGUGCUUGCACUCGGGGAUUAGUGGCGAACGGGUGAGUAACACGUGAGCAACCUGCCCCUGACUCUGGGAUAAGCGCUGGAAACGGCGUCUAAUACUGGAUAUGUCCCGUCACCGCAUGGUGUGCGGGUGGAAAGAUUUUUCGGUUGGGGAUGGGCUCGCGGCCUAUCAGCUUGUUGGUGAGAUAAUGGCUCACCAAGGCGUCGACGGGUAGCCGGCCUGAGAGGGUGACCGGCCACACUGGGACUGAGACACGGCCCAGACUCCUACGGGAGGCAGCAGUGGGGAAUAUUGCACAAUGGGCGGAAGCCUGAUGCAGCAACGCCGCGUGAGGGAUGACGGCCUUCGGGUUGUAAACCUCUUUUAGCAGGGAAGAAGCGAGAGUGACGGUACCUGCAGAAAAAGCACCGGCUAACUACGUGCCAGCAGCCGCGGUAA
rnacentral:rRNA from 1 species